UCCUACGGGACGCAGCAGUGGGGAAUAUUGGGCAAUGGGCGCAAGCCUGACCCAGCAACGCCGCGUGAAGGAAGAAGGCUUUCGGGUUGUAAACUUCUUUUGUCAGGGACGAAGCAAGUGACGGUACCUGACGAAUAAGCCACGGCUAACUACGUGCCAGCAGCCGCGGUAAUACGUAGGGGGCAAGCGUUAUCCGGAUUUACUGGGUGUAAAGGGAGCGCAGGCGGCGCGGUAAGUCUGAUGUGAAAGCCCGGGGCUCAACCCCGGGACUGCAUUGGAAACUGUCGUGCUGGAGUGUCGGAGGG
rnacentral:rRNA from 1 species